GAUGAACGCUGGCGGCGUGCCUAAUACAUGCAAGUCGAGCGAACAGACGAGGAGCUUGCUCCUCUGACGUUAGCGGCGGACGUGUGAGUAACACGUGGAUAACCUCCCUAUAAGACGGGGAUAACUUCGGGAAACCGGAGCAAAUCCCGGAUAAUAUAUUGAACCGCAUGGUUCAAUAGUGAAAGACGGUUUUGCUGUCACUUAUAGAUGGAUCCGCGCCGCAUUAGCUAGUUGGUAAGGUAACGGCUUACCAAGGCAACGAUGAGUAGCCGACCUGAGAGGGGGAUCGGCCACACUGGAACUGAGACACGGUCCAGACUCCUACGGGAGGCAGCAGUAGGGAAUCUUCCGCAAUGGGCGAAAGCCUGACGGAGCAACGCCGCGUGAGUGAUGAAGGUCUUCGGAUCGUAAAACUCUGUUAUUAGGGAAGAACAAAUGUGUAAGUAACUAUGCACGUCGUGACGGUACCUAAUCAGAAAGCCACGGCUAACUACGUG
rnacentral:rRNA from 1 species